rnacentral:lncRNA from 1 species
AAAUGCUUCAUAUGAUUAUUUGAAGUGAAAAGAAAACCUAGUCAGCUGGAGCUGAUUUGGCAAUUUUUCAUGCUGUGAAGGAGAAACAAUUAAGGCCAAAAUGUUGAAUGUCGGAAAGAUACUAAAUGACCUGAGCCAGAGACUAGUGCACAAUAGCAUAAUGUGCCCCUUACGGAUUCUCCCUAUCUAUUUACAUUUCCAGGGAACAGUGGCCCUAAGAAUUUCCAAGUACUGCUUACAGUAAAAAUCAGCGUGAUAAGACAGUAAACAUAUAUCAGACUACAGUAAUACCACCCUUGGAAGCCAUGCAACCUCUGAAAAUCUGGAUUUUCACAAAAGUGGCUGAUAUGCUUUAUAGGGAUUUAGUAUGAGUAACAGACUGUUGGUGCAUUUAAAAUGUGAUUUGAGUUCCAAAAACUAGAUUUGCAUACACCUUUCAACAACCCACCUACUGUAACAAGUGAGGGUCUGCAGGAGACCAUGCCACUACCUGGAUUUAUUUGGAUUACUGAGGUGGAAUCAUUCGUUGGAGUUACAGAGUGACAGAAUAGUAGACAUAGUGGGUAGUCUUAAGAUCCUUCCAUUUUAAAAACCACAACCUAAGGACUGUGUGUGUGUGUCACAUUUUUUACUGUUUUCUCUAGUAAAUGUGCAUCAUGUACACUCUGUCUUUUUCAUUUUUAAAUAAUUUGUAACAUUUUAACUGGCAUUUCCAUUGCACAGAUUAAUAAAUGCCACCUCUUCUCCAAAUGGAAAGCUUUACACGGGAUGCUGUCCUGAACACUGUUGCAUUGCCAGCCUUCUGUGAGUGCACAAGAGCCUUAAUUAAAGCUGGAGCUCUAGCCCCCACCGUGGCUUUUCCUGCCUCUUGUCUGCCUCUGUCACAGUGUGAACAGUAUUUGAGUCUCACCUCUCUCGCACUCCACAGCCCACCUUGGCACAGUCCAGUCUACCAAACUGAUUGAACCCAAGGAUGUCAGCAACACCAUUCAAGAGCAGAAAAUGCAAGAAGCUCCCAUAACACAAGAGGAGAAGGGAAGGGAAGCCCACUACAGACCACAUUCAGAUCCUCCCCUCCGCUCUCAAGCUAUGGUCAGAAAUGGCAGUCACUCUGUGGAGAAGGAGUCACAGAGACACUACUGAUAAAGCACUAGCUUCCGUUUCUGGCCAUACCCUAGCAUUUUCCUCAUCCAAGAGGGCUCCUGAUACCCACUGGUGAAUCUCAACUCUUUUGGAUUAUUAUUGUUGUGAUAGAUGCUGACAUACUACAGGUGCU